rnacentral:rRNA from 1 species
UGGUUAAGAAAGUUGGUGGUGAAAUCCCAAGGCUUAACCUUGGAACUGCCACCAAAACUUUUUAACUAGAGUAUGAUAGAGGUAAGUGGAAUUUCUAGUGUAGAGGUGAAAUUCGUAGAUAUUAGAAAGAACACCAAUUGCGAAGGCAGCUUUCUGGAUCAUUACUGACACUGAGGAGCGAAAGCAUGGGUAGCGAAGAGGAUUAGAUACCCUCGUAGUCCAUGCCGUAAACGAUGUGUGCUAGACGUUGGAAACUUAGUUUUCAGUGUCGCAGCAAAAGCGUUAAGCACACCGCCUGGGGAGUACGACCGCAAGGUUAAAACCCAAAUGAAUUGACGGGGACCCGCACAAGCAGUGGAGCAUGUGGUUUAAUUCGAAGAUACGCGCAGAACCUUACCAACACUUGACAUGUUCGUCGCGACUUUAAGAGAUUAGAGUCUUCGGUUCGGCCGGACGAAACACAGGUGCUGCAUGGCUGUCGUCAGCUCGUGUCGUGAGAUGUUGGGUUAAGUCCCGCAACGAGCGCAACCCUUACUUUUAGUUGCUACCAUUCAGUUGGGCACUCUAAAAGAACUGCCAGUGAUAAGCUGGAGGAAGGUGGGGAUGACGUCAAGUCCUCAUGGCCCUUACGUGUUGGGCUACACACGUGCUACAAUGGUAUUUACAGUGGGAUGCAAAGAGGCGACUCUAAGCAAAUCCCAAAAAGGUACCUCAGUUCGGAUUGCACUCUGCAACUCGAGUGCAUGAAGCUGGAAUUGCUAGUAAUCGCGGAUCAGCGCGCCGCGGUGAAUACGUUCCCGGGUCUUGCACACACCUCCCGUCAAGG